GCCACGGCUUAAGUUUCUGGCAGUGUCUGAGAGAAGGGAAGAGUCUCUCUCGUACUUUUGGAGGACAAGAAAUCUUUCGAAGAUGCUGGGGCGGCAGUGAAGUCGGGCAGAAUUCUGAGAUUUUAUUUAUUUAUUUGAGAUCGAGAACACGAAUUGGGGGAGCGGUAGAGAAAAGGGAGAAGCAGACUCCUGGCUGAGCAGGGAGACCCAGGUGGAGCUUGAUCCCAGGACCCCAGGAUGAUGACCUGAGCCCAAGCCACUCAGGCACCCCUGUCACACGUUCUUACUGAGAAGUUUCCAGAAAUGCCAUGCACUGAACACACUGCACCCAUCAGCAUCACUUUCAAGUUGGAGAGUAGAAAGCUGCUUCCAUGGAGGAAACAAAAAUACCCAGCCUGCCAACUGGCAUCGACAUCAAUGUGUGGUUCCAGACCCCUCCACAUCACAAGGCAAGUCUCCAAACAGCCCCAAGUCUGUGCUCUGUCCCUUUCUACACAGCUGCUCUUCCAAACUUUGGUUUCUCCUCUGCAAUCUAGCCCCCUGACUUCUCCCAGCAGUACCCUCAACUCCUAUUUCAUGGAAAAGCCAGAAGCCAUUGGGCAUGAACAUCUAAUCCCCUCCACCCCUCACCCCCCCACUGCUGGGACAAGGGCCCCUCCCUUUGGCCAGGGUCAAUCCUGCAAGGAUGUGCAAGGAUCCCAUCUUGUCUUGGCCCUACAGGGAGCUGGAGCUGUCCGUUACCCCCUCCCUCUCCUGAAUCCCUCACCUCAGCUCCUUCUCCUACAAACACAAGUACAACUUGCAUCAUCCUACAAACUUCCCCAGAUCCUGCCUCCUCUGUCCUUCUGGGCUCCUGGACGUUUUGGAGGAGCACGCCGAUUGUUCAUCUCCACUUUGCCGCUUCCCGUAACCCCUCACCCUAGUGCAAUCUGGCCUGGAGCCCCUCUCACACACAUCUGCUGGGGCUCCAGUGACUUCCACAUCUCCACAUCUGGGGCUCUGUGCCAGUCCUUAUCUAGCCUGACCUCCCUGCGUCAUCAGAAGCCUUUGAACAUUUUUCUUCCCCUUCUUGGCGCCCUUUCUUUUCCCAGAUCCCCUGCUGGCUGUUCUCCCUCCACUGGCCUCUUAAGUGUUUCUAGCUUGGAUUUUCUCAAUUCUCACAUUACAUGGCCUCCCUAGGGACUCUCACCCAGGGACAGCAAGGGUGGUGAAAAGAGUAUUGGCUUUGUGGUCAGACGGUUCUACGUUCCAAGCCCAGCCCAUCAGUGGGUGAGUUUGACCAAGUUUCUUCAUGUCCCUGAGCUUCAACUUCCUCACCCGGCCACCGAGAAGGACACAAUUCUGACCUUGCAGCCUAUUGGAGAUUUACUGCUGAUAAGUCUCAUGAAAGUCCCAGCACAAGGUGGUGGGCAAUUUGCUCCACACUGCAGGGCCCUAUGGCUCCAGCUACCACCAAUGUGCUGAGACUCCCAGAUCUACAUCCCUAACCCCCACAUUUCUUCUGGCUUUUAUGCUAUUUCUCCAGGGUCAAUUGGGUGGCUCAGUCGUUAAAUGUCUGCCUUCGGCUCAGGUCAUGAUCCCAGGUUCCCCAGAUUAAGCCUGCUCUGCAGGAUGCCUGUUUCUCCCUCUCCCACUCCCCCUGUUUGUAUUCCCUUGCUUGCUGUCUCUCUCUAUCAAAUAAAUAUGCCAUGUGUCCAAUGUUCGGAUCUCGAUCUCUAGCUCCUUUCUCUCUUUUCUGUCUAGUUCUAUAUUUAUGCCUACUUAUAGCUCAUUCCAAUGGCAUUUUUCAAGACCUUAAGCUGAACUGACACCCCAUCAAACUCAUAAUUCCUCUCAACACUCUCCCCUGAACUGUCCUCUUCCUGUGAUCUCUACUUUGGGGCUAAUGGCCCCAUAACCCACUCAGCAGCCCCAGCUGAAUUUCUCCAAGACUGGAAGGCCUCUUUUUUUCUCCCCAUCUAAUAAACCACCAUAUCCUGUGAAACCUCCCUCAAAUCCAUCCCUCCUGUCAACCCCCAUUGUCCCUGCCUUCAUUUAGACACUCACUGUGUCUCCUGGGUACCAUUGCCUGACAAGGGUAAGUUCCAGACCACUAGUAUGGCCUACAGGGCCCUCUUUGCCAGUCCCGGACCCUUCUCUCCAAUGACAUCUUAUGUUUGUCUUCUGAUCUCGCCAUCACUGACCACACCAUGCCUGGCAUAUGCUACGUUCUUGCCAGUUGGAAAGCCACAGCUGCCCCUCAAGAUUCAGCUUAAAUGUGCCUU
rnacentral:lncRNA from 1 species